rnacentral:rRNA from 1 species
GCAAGUCGAACGGCAGCAUAGAGAGCUUGCUCUCUGAUGGCGAGUGGCGAACGGGUGAGUAAUAUAUCGGAACGUGCCUAGUAAUGGGGAACAACUAAUCGAAAGGUUAGCUAAUACCGCAUACGACCUACGGGUGAAAGCAGGGGAUCUUCGGACCUUGCGUUAUUAGAGCGGCCGAUAUCUGAUUAGGUAGUUGGUGGGGUAAAGGCCUACCAAGCCGACGAUCAGUAGCUGGUCUGAGAGGACGAUCAGCCACACUGGAACUGAGACACGGUCCAGACUCCUACGGGAGGCAGCAGUGGGGAAUUUUGGACAAUGGGGGAAACCCUGAUCCAGCCAUUCCGCGUGAGUGAAGAAGGCCUUCGGGUUGUAAAGCUCUUUCGCAAGAGAAGAAAUCUUACUAUCUAAUAAAUAGUGAGGAUGACGGUAUCUUGACAAGAAGCACCGGCUAACUAUGUGCCAGCAGCCGCGGUAAUACAUAGGGUGCGAGCGUUAAUCGGAAUUACUGGGCGUAAAGGGUGCGCAGGCGGUCUUAUAAGUCAGAUGUGAAAUCCCCGAGCUCAACUUGGGAACUGCGUUUGAAACUAUAAGACUAGAGUGUGUCA